rnacentral:rRNA from 1 species
UACGGAGGGUGCAAGCGUUAAUCGGAAUUACUGGGCGUAAAGCGUGCGUAGGCGGUUCGUUAAGUCUGUUGUGAAAGCCCCGGGCUCAACCUGGGAAUGGCAAUGGAUACUGGCGAGCUAGAGUGUGUCAGAGGAUGGUGGAAUUCCCGGUGUAGCGGUGAAAUGCGUAGAGAUCGGGAGGAACAUCAGUGGCGAAGGCGGCCAUCUGGGACAACACUGACGCUGAGGCACGAAAGCGUGGGGAGCAAACAGGAUUGAGACUACCGUGGUAGUCCA